UGUGUGUGUGUGUGUGUGUGUAUAUAUGUGUGUGUAUAUAUAUAUAUAUAUAUAUAUACAUACAUACAUACAUACACACACACACACACACACA